rnacentral:rRNA from 1 species
UUAAGCGACUAAGCGUACACGGUGGAUGCCCUGGCAGUCAGAGGCGAUGAAGGACGUGCUAAUCUGCGAUAAGCGUCGGUAAGGUGAUAUGAACCGUUAUAACCGGCGAUUUCCGAAUGGGGAAACCCAGUGUGUUUCGACACACUAUCAUUAACUGAAUCCAUAGGUUAAUGAGGCGAACCGGGGGAACUGAAACAUCUAAGUACCCCGAGGAAAAGAAAUCAACCGAGAUUCCCCCAGUAGCGGCGAGCGAACGGGGAGCAGCCCAGAGCCUGAAUCAGUGUGUGUGUUAGUGGAAGCGUCUGGAAAGGCGCGCGAUACAGGGUGACAGCCCCGUACACAAAAAUGCACAUGCUGUGAGCUCGAUGAGUAGGGCGGGACACGUGGUAUCCUGUCUGAAUAUGGGGGGACCAUCCUCCAAGGCUAAAUACUCCUGACUGACCGAUAGUGAACCAGUACCGUGAGGGAAAGGCGAAAAGAACCCCGGCGAGGGGAGUGAAAAAGAACCUGAAACCGUGUACGUACAAGCAGUGGGAGCACAGAGCAAUCUGUGUGACUGCGUACCUUUUGUAUAAUGGGUCAGCGACUUAUAUUCUGUAGCAAGGUUAACCGAAUAGGGGAGCCGAAGGGAAACCGAGUCUUAACUGGGCGUUAAGUUGCAGGGUAUAGACCCGAAACCCGGUGAUCUAGCCAUGGGCAGGUUGAAGGUUGGGUAACACUAACUGGAGGACCGAACCGACUAAUGUUGAAAAAUUAGCGGAUGACUUGUGGCUGGGGGUGAAAGGCCAAUCAAACCGGGAGAUAGCUGGUUCUCCCCGAAAGCUAUUUAGGUAGCGCCUCGUGAAUUCAUCUCCGGGGGUAGAGCACUGUUUCGGCAAGGGGGUCAUCCCGACUUACCAACCCGAUGCAAACUGCGAAUACCGGAGAAUGUUAUCACGGGAGACACACGGCGGGUGCUAACGUCCGUCGUGAAGAGGGAAACAACCCAGACCGCCAGCUAAGGUCCCAAAGUCAUGGUUAAGUGGGAAACGAUGUGGGAAGGCCCAGACAGCCAGGAUGUUGGCUUAGAAGCAGCCAUCAUUUAAAGAAAGCGUAAUAGCUCACUGGUCGAGUCGGCCUGCGCGGAAGAUGUAACGGGGCUAAACCAUGCACCGAAGCUGCGGCAGCGACGCUUAUGCGUUGUUGGGUAGGGGAGCGUUCUGUAAGCCUGUGAAGGUGUGCUGUGAGGCAUGCUGGAGGUAUCAGAAGUGCGAAUGCUGACAUAAGUAACGAUAAAGCGGGUGAAAAGCCCGCUCGCCGGAAGACCAAGGGUUCCUGUCCAACGUUAAUCGGGGCAGGGUGAGUCGACCCCUAAGGCGAGGCCGAAAGGCGUAGUCGAUGGGAAACAGGUUAAUAUUCCUGUACUUGGUGUUACUGCGAAGGGGGGACGGAGAAGGCUAUGUUGGCCGGGCGACGGUUGUCCCGGUUUAAGCGUGUAGGCUGGUUUUCCAGGCAAAUCCGGAAAAUCAAGGCUGAGGCGUGAUGACGAGGCACUACGGUGCUGAAGCAACAAAUGCCCUGCUUCCAGGAAAAGCCUCUAAGCAUCAGGUAACAUCAAAUCGUACCCCAAACCGACACAGGUGGUCAGGUAGAGAAUACCAAGGCGCUUGAGAGAACUCGGGUGAAGGAACUAGGCAAAAUGGUGCCGUAACUUCGGGAGAAGGCACGCUGAUAUGUAGGUGAAGCGACUUGCUCGUGGAGCUGAAAUCAGUCGAAGAUACCAGCUGGCUGCAACUGUUUAUUAAAAACACAGCACUGUGCAAACACGAAAGUGGACGUAUACGGUGUGACGCCUGCCCGGUGCCGGAAGGUUAAUUGAUGGGGUCAGCGCAAGCGAAGCUCUUGAUCGAAGCCCCGGUAAACGGCGGCCGUAACUAUAACGGUCCUAAGGUAGCGAAAUUCCUUGUCGGGUAAGUUCCGACCUGCACGAAUGGCGUAAUGAUGGCCAGGCUGUCUCCACCCGAGACUCAGUGAAAUUGAACUCGCUGUGAAGAUGCAGUGUACCCGCGGCAAGACGGAAAGACCCCGUGAACCUUUACUAUAGCUUGACACUGAACAUUGAGCCUUGAUGUGUAGGAUAGGUGGGAGGCUUUGAAGUGUGGACGCCAGUCUGCAUGGAGCCGACCUUGAAAUACCACCCUUUAAUGUUUGAUGUUCUAACGUUGACCCGUAAUCCGGGUUGCGGACAGUGUCUGGUGGGUAGUUUGACUGGGGCGGUCUCCUCCUAAAGAGUAACGGAGGAGCACGAAGGUUGGCUAAUCCUGGUCGGACAUCAGGAGGUUAGUGCAAUGGCAUAAGCCAGCUUGACUGCGAGCGUGACGGCGCGAGCAGGUGCGAAAGCAGGUCAUAGUGAUCCGGUGGUUCUGAAUGGAAGGGCCAUCGCUCAACGGAUAAAAGGUACUCCGGGGAUAACAGGCUGAUACCGCCCAAGAGUUCAUAUCGACGGCGGUGUUUGGCACCUCGAUGUCGGCUCAUCACAUCCUGGGGCUGAAGUAGGUCCCAAGGGUAUGGCUGUUCGCCAUUUAAAGUGGUACGCGAGCUGGGUUUAGAACGUCGUGAGACAGUUCGGUCCCUAUCUGCCGUGGGCGCUGGAGAACUGAGGGGGGCUGCUCCUAGUACGAGAGGACCGGAGUGGACGCAUCACUGGUGUUCGGGUUGUCAUGCCAAUGGCACUGCCCGGUAGCUAAAUGCGGAAGAGAUAAGUGCUGAAAGCAUCUAAGCACGAAACUUGCCCCGAGAUGAGUUCUCCCUGACCCUUUAAGGGUCCUGAAGGAACGUUGAAGACGACGACGUUGAUAGGCCGGGUGUGUAAGCGCAGCGAUGCGUUGAGCUAACCGGUACUAAUGAACCGUGAGGCUUAACCU